rnacentral:rRNA from 1 species
AUACGUAGGGUGCGAGCGUUGUCCGGAAUUACUGGGCGUAAAGAGCUCGUAGGUGGUUUGUCGCGUCGUCUGUGAAAUUCCGGGGCUUAACUCCGGGCGUGCAGGCGAUACGGGCAUAACUUGAGUACUGUAGGGGAGACUGGAAUUCCUGGUGUAGCGGUGAAAUGCGCAGAUAUCAGGAGGAACACCGGUGGCGAAGGCGGGUCUCUGGGCAGUAACUGACGCUGAGGAGCGAAAGCAUGGGUAGCGAACAGGAUUAGAUACCCUGGUAGUCCAUGCCGUAAACGGUGGGCGCUAGGUGUAGGGGUCUUCCACGACUUCUGUGCCGUAGCUAACGCAUUAAGCGCCCCGCCUGGGGAGUACGGCCGCAAG